AUACGGAGGGUGCAAGCGUUGUUCGGAAUUACUGGGCGUAAAGCGCGUGCAGGCGGUAAGGUAAGUCAGAUGUGAAAGCCCCGGGCUCAACCCGGGAAGUGCAUUUGAUACUGCCUUUCUUGAGUAUGGGAGAGGAGAGUGGAAUUCCCAGUGUAGAGGUGAAAUUCGUAGAUAUUGGGAGGAACACCCGUGGCGAAGGCGACUCUCUGGACCAAUACUGACGCUGAGACGCGAAAGCGUGGGGAGCGAACAGGAUUAGAUACCCUAGUAGUCC
rnacentral:rRNA from 1 species